GAUGAACGCUGGCGGCGUGCCUAAUACAUGCAAGUCGAGCGAACAGACGAGGAGCUUGCUCCUCUGACGUUAGCGGCGGACGGGUGAGUAACACGUGGAUAACCUACCUAUAAGACUGGGAUAACUUCGGGAAACAGGAGCUAAUACCGGAUAAUAUAUUGAACCGCAUGGUUCAAUAGUGAAAGACGGUUUUGCUGUCACUUAUAGAUGGAUCCGCGCCGCAUUAGCUAGUUGGUAAGGUAACGGCUUACCAAGGCAACGAAGCGUAGCCGACCUGAGAGGGUGAUCGGCCACACUGGAACUGAGACACGGUCCAGACUCCUACGGGAGGCAGCAGUAGGGAAUCUUCCGCAAUGGGCGAAAGCCUGACGGAGCAACGCCGCGUGAGUAAUGAAGGUCUUCGGAUCGUAAAACUCUGUUAUUAGGGAAGAACAAAUGUGUAAGUAACUAUGCACGUCUUGACGGUACCUAAUCAGAAAGCCACGGCUAACUACGUG
rnacentral:rRNA from 1 species